rnacentral:rRNA from 1 species
CUACGGAGGGUGCAAGCGUUAUUCGGAAUCACUGGGCGUAAAGGACGCGUAGGCGGGUUGGCAAGUCAGAUGUGAAAUCCUACAGCUUAACUGUAGAACUGCAUUUGAAACUGCUAACCUAGAGUAUGGGAGGGGGAGAUGGAAUUAGUGGUGUAGGGGUAAAAUCCGUAGAUAUCACUAGGAGUACCGAAAGCGAAGGCGAUCUCCUGGAACAUAACUGACGCUAAGGCGUGAAAGCGUGGGGAGCAAACAGGAUUAGAAACCCUAGUAGUCC